rnacentral:misc_RNA from 1 species
ACCACCAGAAAUGCUUGUAUCUCCAUUUUCCUUUCCAAGCAAGCUAUAUUGAUGCCUCCUUGGGGUUUCGCAUCUAUUUCCUGCAGAACUACUAAAAUCUCGAGUAAAACAGCGCGCGAUCGCCGCAGGCUCGUACACAGCAUUCUGAACAAGCCGGAGCUUCCGGGAUUGACGGAGCAGCUGCGACAUGGCCGGAUCCGAUUCGAUCUCCAAUCAAGGCCGCCCUUUCUCUACCUCGCCGCCGAUCCGACCGUGGUCGACGUCGAUCGUCCGAUCUGUGGAGGGGAAUAGAUGAGUGGGAAAGAAGAGAAGGCAAG